rnacentral:misc_RNA from 1 species
UUGUGGAGGAGGACGCCGAAGGUGGGGCUGAUGACUGGGGUGAAGUCGUAACAAGGUAGCCGUACCGGAAGGUGCGGCUGGAUCACCUCCUAACAGGGAGACAAAAACUGAUCGUGAUGUCUGAGAUUUUUGUUCUUAGGCCAUGAUCCUGCCACCUUAGGUCGAUCGGUACCUCUAUUUGGUAAUAAAUGAAGUUGAGUAAUUAGCUUUUUUGAAUCAAAUUCAGUUCCUAAACUUUGUCUAGGUCACACCCAGCAAGGGUACUCCUGGGCCAUUAGCUCAGGUGGUUAGAGCGCACCCCUGAUAAGGGUGAGGUCCCUGGUUCAAGUCCAGGAUGGCCCAUUCGGUGUUGGGGGUAUAGCUCAGUUGGUAGAGCGCCUGCUUUGCAAGCAGGAUGUCAGCGGUUCGAGUCCGCUUACCUCCACUGAUCAACCUCCUUUAACGAACUCGAAGGAGAUAGUCUGAGUUUGGUUGUGAUUUAGAAUUGUUUUCCGUUGAUUGAACCUAGCUUCUUAUCAUUCCAUCUUUUAGAUCGAAUUAAUCUAAUUGGUUGAUAGGAUGCUGGGCUCCCUGCGAUCUAUUUGAUUGCAGAGAUCUUCAGUAGAACCUUGACAACUGCAUAGGUAAGUCUGUAAUGAAUAAAGCAUCUCAUGGAUGUACUAUUAUUCAAGCAGAAUUUAGUAAUUUUGACUUGUCAUAAUUACUAAAUUUUUUGUUAUUAAUAGUGCGCAAUUCUUGAGUUAAGAGCUGAAACUCUAUACCUUUUGGUUAUAGAGUAUUUAUGGUCAAGCUACAA